rnacentral:lncRNA from 1 species
AGCAUAUUCAAAAUCUGACCAUCUCUCAUCACUUCCACUAGUCUGGGUUGCCAUCCCUCUCACCUGGAUUACUACAAAGCCUCCUACUUGGUCUCGUUCCUCCCCUCUUGCCAAGCCACCCAUCCCAUUCUUUUUGCCACACAGCAGCCAGAGGAAGCCUUUUAGAACCUAAGCCACGUCAUGGUGCCCAUUGGUUCUAGACCCUCGAGGGGCCUCCCCAUGUCAUACA